rnacentral:rRNA from 16 species
AGAUGCGAUCAUACCAGCACUAAAGCACCGGAUCCCAUCACAACUCCGAAGUUAAGCGUGCUUGGGCGAGAGUAGUACUAGGAUGGGUGACUUCCUCGGAAGUCCUCGUGUUGCAUUCC